AACUUCCUCUUCUACAGGGAGGACAAGCUCAGCCUCCUGCACACCAUCGUCAACAAGGCCCCGGGCUACCACGAGCACACCGUGGAUCUAUCACCCAGGUCUUUACUUCUAAACAAUCCAAUGCAUCUUGCAAAGGAACGGAUGGAGGAAAUCCAUUCACAACGUUUGUCGCAAAAAUUCGACCUGAAAUCCCUGUGCUUGUGAUAUAAUGAAGAGAAUUGCGGCAAACUUGCUAAUCUGAAUUAUGUUCUUUUGAGCUGUGACAAGGAUCUGGGAUGUUUUCAGUGAUGCUAUAUAGUUCACAGGAACAGGCUUGUCCAAUGUAAACUGCGAGAAUUUCAUGUGCUUAUUUUGCUACUAUGGAGAAGUUCAUCCAUUCACCGGCGCGCUAGGUUUUUGAACACGUUCAGUUGUACACUUGCAGUAUAUGUAUAUUAAAGGGGAAGGUAAGAGAGAAACCUUAUUUUCUUCGCAGGCCUGACUACCUCCUCUUUUAGCGGCAGGUUCAUUGCUUUUUAUUUUCUUUCAGCUCAUCUGUUAAAGUUGUAGUGCAGUGUAGGUAAAAGAGACUUCUGGGUUAUAUACAUUCUCUUCCUUUUAAUUGUGCUACACCGCUGCUGCACUCAUUAUGAUGUUCAAAUCUUAAAUUUUGACUGUUGUGUUUUUAUUAUCUUAGUAUAAGGGGUAUGGGUUUUAUAUGCCUUGUUUCCCUGUUUUUGGGCUUUUAUUUUAAAUUGCUGGAUUGGGUAUUGCUCAUGGUCUCUAUAUUUAUUAUUCUCAUUUUUCAUAUACUAGGGACUUUGUUUCUAAAACUGAUUCUGGAUAAUUGAGAGUUAUUUAUGGUCUGUUACAUGCAUUUAUUGGGUAUAGGAUUUGCAAAGCUACUACUCUACGGUAAAAGCAUGUGUGGUUUAUAUUAUUCUUAGCUGCAAAUGUGCAUCACCUUGAGACGUGAACAGUAGCUACAUAUAUGAACGCUUAGUAUUAGCUGCAGCUGUGAGCAGCACUAAAAUUCUAUCCAAUGGCUUACCGUGUGUGUGAGAGAGGAGAGAGGGACUUGUAACAGCACUUCUAUAUUGUGCAUUUUCAAAUUGACACUUUUAUUUUUACACAAGAAAAAAUAGAGUUUUCUCUUUCAACAUUUAUUUUUGUUAUUGUGAGCAUAUGAAUUGAGGUCCCAUAUUCCAUAUUUGAUGAGUGGCUUCCGGCUGAACAUCUAUCUACAUGGCUACAUGUCCUUCCUACAUGUAUCUAAUCUAAUAUUAUUAUGAUCUGAAAUCCGAAACAGAAGUUUAUGAGUUGCAUGUUGCUACUAAUUUACCUCAACAUCCUCCUAUUUAUUUAUUACAUUCUUCUUUUGGUUUGAUGUGUUCUAUGUACGUCUACAGCCGGAAAGUCCUUUUGGAUCAUGGGCACCAGUGCCCUCAUUGUAUUAAAAAAAUUGAAAAUUAUAUUUAUAUAUUUCAAAAAAUUAUGUAACGAAACCCUAAAAGUAGCUAAUGAUG